UACGGAGGGAGCUAGCGUUGUUCGGAAUUACUGGGCGUAAAGCGCACGUAGGCGGCUUUGUAAGUUAGAGGUGAAAGCCCAGAGCUCAACUCUGGAAUUGCCUUUGAGACUGAGAGGCUUGAGUACGGGAGAGGUGAGUGGAAUUCCCAGUGUAGAGGUGAAAUUCGUAGAUAUUGGGAAGAACACCGGUGGCGAAGGCGGCUCACUGGCCCGAAACUGACGCUCAUGCACGACAGCGUGGGGAUCAAACAGG
rnacentral:rRNA from 1 species